ensembl:lncRNA
CAGAGUGCUGAGUGUUUCACUAGGACUCUGCGGUCGGCAAGCUGCACGUCCUGAAGUACUUCACAUGAAAGCAGAGCAGCUCAAACCGCAUCGCUCAGAAAGACGCAGUGGGGAUUGUGCACCAUUGGGUUAUCACAAGAGUCUCGUUGGGCUUGAACUGUUUGUGGCUGGCAAUUACAGAUUCCAGAAGCAAUAAUUUCUUAGGAAUGUUUCCCUUCCUGCUGGUUAGAUGACUUUCAUGGAGAUUUAUGACCCAAACAGGCUUUUUAUAAUAUGAAUCUGGUUGUGUUGGCUAGCGCUGGCAGUAAGCAGUUAUGGUAAGACGUGGGUUGUUCAUCAUUAGGAGGGAGGAAGUCAAUAAAUCCAACAGAGGUUAGUGCUCCUUGAAACACAGUGUCCUCUUUCCCUUUCGUUUGGAGCCCUUCCCUGCAGUUUGAAAUAAUCCCUGCUCAGAGGGGAGCUGGCAUUUACCCUCCCAGCUUCACCAGUGCAACUGCAGAGCCCGUGGUGAGUGGGGCUGAGCCUUCCUCAUCCCUUUCCCAUCUCAUCCAGAUCCCCCGAGCACUUGAAUGACAACAGCACCAGAAAUGAUUAGUGCCAGAUACCUCAAUAAAGCCUCAGUUCCGUCAUUAAAAAUGCAUCUGCACCCCCUGUGCUGAGCUUGGCCUUCAUCACCCUCAUCACCAUCACAGAAGGCAGGCUUUUCACGGCUGUGGUGCAUCUCCUUGCACCAAUGUGGGUUGAGGUCACACUUGCCAGUAAAGGUGGAGGAAGUUGUGGUUGGUACCUGGGAAAGCUUCCUCCAUGCUGGGCAGGCAGGGGGCAGCGGUUUUGGUGGUCACUCCUCUUUUCAGUAAUUUUCUCUAAAUGAGAAUCUGGCUCGCCAGCCACUCUGCAGUUCGGUCUCUGCGAUGAAUUCUAGUUCAAUCACUGAGAGUUUUUUAGGUGUGUGUGUGUGUGCGUGCAUGUGUCUGUGUGUAUAUAGCUUCAUAUACACACUGUUCAGGCCAAAAUACCGUUGGUGGUUGUGUGCUCUUUGUCACUGUUCUCGACAGUGUUUUCAACUGAGUUCUUCCAGGUUUUCCCUCAUCCUUGUCUGACACAAGACGAGCUCAGCUAUAAAUAUAUAUCCUAUUUAAGUGAGUAAGUGAACUCCUGCAUGAUAUUCCAAGCACAUGUAGCAGCUUCGGCAUCUGAAGUAUCUGUUGUGAAAGAGAAGUUGGUUUUAUUUGCAGCUGUUUUGUUCUUGCUUCCUUUUAAUAGGCCAAAUAAAUGUAAUGAACACCAAAUGUUGCACAGAAAUGUUAUGAAUGACUGUGUAGAAGAGAUACCAAAUUUUAUUUUUCUUUGCAGAAACUUUAUGGUAACAGAGAGUCCUCUAGCUGUUAUUCUUAAAUGACAAAGCUGAACAUUCGUGAAGUGCGUUGAAAAUGGUCAUUUUAAGACGUGAUGCUACCCAAAGUUUUCUGUUUCUCAUGUUGCAUCCAGAAAAAGCAGUUCCCAGAGGCAAGCUGGAGGAGCUCAGGUACCAACUGCUGUUUGGGUUUUGAGGCUCAGCAAGUCCUGGGCAGUUCAGAAAUAAAUUACAUUAGAUAACUUCCUAAAGGCUCAGUUGUCCUUCUGUAAUGUGGCAGUAGCACGUGGCUUCGGUCUGCCCAAGCAGGAGGGUCUGCUUGUUCGCAUAUUGACUUUGUUUCGUGAUUUCAAUUGGAUUUCCAGGGGGUGGUCUGCAUUUGACUUCUCCCCCUCAUCCUUCAGCCUUGCAGUUCCUCACCCUGGAGAGGUCUGACAUGGAUGAAAAUUACGGCCGUGUAGUGGCAAAUAUUUUCCCUCAAAAAAAACAAAACCAAACCAAACCAAACAGAAUGUUUCUUCUCAAAUUCAAAGGCUUUUGCUGUGUUUGUGGCCUGCUAAAGCUUUACAGAAAGGCCAGGACACAGAUUCAGUUCAGCAUUCUCUGACAUGCUGUCCUUAAAUUUUGGAACUGGGGAUAGAGCUCUGGAAGCAAAGCCUUCCUUGAGGAGAUCAUCCCCUUAGCAUGCACCUGUUUGCUACUCAGUGGUAGCCAAACUGUAGUAAACAGCCCCAAAACCAGAAAGACUUAACUAUUAACAAAUUGGCAGUUCUCAAUUAUUACUCUUUAUUCUGAUGUAACAUGAACACUAAGCCCUUUUGGUAGCCAAAUGACCAGCUUGUUUUAAAUGCCUCAUAUUAAUAGAAAGCUGCAUAUAGGCAUCUCAUAGCAGAAAAAAUAAAAAAGAGAAUAUUUAGUUCCUGUGUGAACUGGCCAUACGACAACUACUUUUUUAUCAACUUAUUAAGUUGGGGCACUAUAAUAGCUCUUGCUGAGUUUAGCAAUGUUUAUAAGCAUGUGUUAAACACAUAACGUUAAGUUUUAUGAGGAAAAAGGGAUAAAGAAAAGUAAUGUCACAGAUGAAUGUUUGAGUGCGUAGACGGCAUAACGUAUGUAUGUUUUUUAUUUCUACACUGUUGAGCUUAUUUUCUGUUUUAAGGUUAAAACAAAAAAAGUUGUUGCAUGAGAACUGUUUUAUUGUGUUCUGCACUUUCUGUUCUUUUUGUAUAAUAUCUUGGUUUUUUUUUUUCAUUUACGCAUAGAAAACAAAAAUCAAUUUAGAGAUAUUCUACUCCACAAGACAUUGUGUUCCAAUCCGUUGUUCUGAAGUUCAAUCUUAAUAAACGUUUCAGUAAGAGUUUGUGGUUUGCAUUCCUGUGUUGUUUGUAGGGAGCUUGGGUGGAGGCACUUAGUGUCACUCCAUC